GAUCCAGUAGCUCAGGUGGGUAGAGCGACUGCUUCCAAAGCAGGCUGUCAUGCGUUCGAGUCGCAUCCGGAUCA
rnacentral:tRNA from 1 species